CAGAGUCCUACACAGAUUUCUAGGGGGAAAGCAUUCCAGAUAGAAGGAACACCAAACGCGAAGACACUUGAAAUUCUAGUGCAACUGACUUCAAUUGAUUAAAGAGCAUUUGCUGUGUGCCGGAUGCUUUACAGCACUGAUUUUAUUUCAAUGAUACAGCAACUCUGCACCACUAAUUAUUAUUACUUCCAUUUUAUGCACUGCUACAUCGAAGAUUUAGCCACAAGCCUAGCAAAGGGUGGACCUGUAGUUGAUGGAUGAACCUGGAGGUUGAUAGCAUUUCCGCAAGCCCAAUGCUUUAAGGAUUCUACUGUGGGGAUCGAGUCCCUCCUGAAAGGCAGUAAAUCUGCAGAGAGCGAGCCCUAUCUGUACUCCCCAGUUUCACAUUCCUUGAGGCUCGGUGAGUUCCUGCUUCACCCCUCUAGCACAGCUGCAAAGUUACAAGGUUGAUACAGAAACAUGGUUUCCCAGGGAUGUGGAACAUACAGUAUAGAUAAAUGUAAAAGACUCAUCAACUGCCUUCGUUCUCGAUUCUGCUUUUACUUCUGACAAAAUGCCAGGAAUCCUGCUUCCUUGGGUGGCUUAUGGAAAUGCAGCAGACCCAAAUUUCAUUAGGACUGUAAUAGCAUGUCCUGUCCAUGGAUUAAUGUGUGCCAGAUGUGCAGGUUCAACCACAUCUGCAAGCACCAGCCACCUGCUCAGAGGAGUCGGCCUCCAAAGCCAAGGCAAGAGAAGGCUGCUAACAUUUUAUUUGCCCUCCACCCUGGAGCAAAAAUAAUAAUAAUAAUAAUAAUAACUUAAAAUGCGGCAGAGGGAUUGCCUAGCUUUUAUUCAAAGGGGUGAUGGUUUACAUGAAGCUACGUACCACUAGGUCUUUCCAAGCAUCUUUCUUGGACUUCUGCACCAAUGUAUUUAAAGGCUGAAAACCAAAGUUCCCAUCCCAUCACAGUGAUCUUGGAUAAAUUCCUCGGCAUCCGUGAGCUUUGCAUUCCUUGUCUGUAAAAUGACAGCAACAACACGAACUUGCAGGGUGGCAGUGAAAAUGAAAUGAGAUGAAACAGAAGAAAUUGCAUUGCACAGUGAGAGGAGCAUAGUAAUUGCUCAAUAAAUGUUGUCCAGUCCACAUUUGCGAUUUUUUUUUAAGUCACAUAGGUAGGGCCAAGACUGCGCUUGGAUCCAGUGUGCUUGGGCCAGUGGGCUUGGAUCUUGCUUUCAUUCUCAAACCUGUCACCCUUCACAUACACACUCAAUCUCUCUCUCAUGCACACACACUCUCUCUCUCAGCUUUGUUUGGGCCUGUACUAUAGUGCAGGGGUUGGCUUGAGAGGCAGGAGGAACAGAAGGGCCCAGGCAAGUCAUUUCUGAAAGUAAAAGUCAGAAACAGAGACAUGGCAGAAUGCAGGCCUAAUCUACCCCUCUUCACUUCACUCACGUGGCCUGCAGAGCACAUGGCAGUGCUGACAGGAAUCUAUGCACAUAUGCACUACCCACAUACCCCUAAGCAAUAUAUGGUUUAGUUUUGAUUGUUUUUAAUCUUUAUAUAAAUGAAGCCAUCCUUAUCUAUUCCUGUAUGACUUUUGUUUUUCAUUCAACAUUAUUUUUCUGAGAUUCAUUCAUGUUAAUGCAUGAAGCUGUAAUUUUUCCUGUUCACUACUGUAUAAUAUUUCAUUGUGUGACUAUACCAGAAUGUAUUCUACCACUGAUAAACAUCCGUGCUGUUUCCAAUUUUUUGCUAUUAUAAACAGUGCUGCAAUGAACAUUCCUGUAUUGGUGCAUAUGAUCAAAAGAUUCUCCAAUACAUAUGGCUAGAAGAACACUGCUGGAUCAAAGGUUAUGCCUAAUUUUGACUUUAGCUAAGCUAUUUUGACUUUUGACUAUAGCGUCAAAUUAUUUUUCCAAAGAUCUUCUUCCAGUUCACAGUCUAAUUUCCUAUUUCUUGGCAGAAAUGUUGAAAACUACCUUGGAGAAUGUUAUUCCUAGAUUUUUUGAGCUUAAUCUCUGAAUUUCAUUUACCUUAGUGGCCCGUCAAGCUGUCUCCAACAUUUCAGAAGCCACAUUAAUGUGAGAAAACUAUGAGAAUUAUAUCCAAUUUGUUUCUUUCUUUACUAGAAAUUAAGCUAUCUACUCUUGCAAUGGAAUACUUUGAAGAAAUGAUGGCAAGUAGCCUAAAUCGCUCUUUUUCUUCAAUACUUAAGAAUGUAACUAAAAAUUCAUACCAACUGGCCGGGCGCAGUGGCUCAUGCCUGUAAUCCCAGCACUUUGGGAGGCUGAGGUGAGCGGAUCAUAAAGUCAAGAAAUUGAGACCACUCUGGCCAACAUGGUGAAACCCUGUCUCUACUAAAAAUACAAAAAUUAGAUGGGCGUGGUGACGCGUGCCUGUAGUCCCAGCUACUCAGGAGGCUGAGGAAGGAGAAGCAUUUGAACCUGGGAAGCAGAGGUUGCAGUGAGCCGAGAUCGCGCCACUGCAUUCCAGCCCGGCGACACAGCAAGACUCUGUCUCAAAAAGAAAAAAAAGAAAAAAAAAUUCACACCAAUUAUCCAGUUGAUUUUUAAGUGCAAAAUGCAAGAAUUCCCAAUAUUAGGUCACAAGGACAGGUUUUGCCUAUUUUCAAUGCUAAUACAUAAUUAAACUUCCAUCUAUGUUUUAAGAUUGUUUUUCUCAACCAAGUCUGAUGAAUUAUAUAAUUUGUGAUGUACCUGUUGACAAAUCAUGCUUCUUUUACAUAAUUAAAG
rnacentral:lncRNA from 10 species